rnacentral:lncRNA from 1 species
CAAAGGAAAGGAGCAUCUUGAAUCAUCUCUAUGAUCUCAAGAAGAGGAACUCCAAGGGUUUUAUCUCUUCUCUUAUCUUUGUAUGCUUUAGGACUAACUCUUCUCUUCUUCUCUCCACUCUAACCCAAGCCAAACUCUUUUUGUGCAAACUUUGACUUUGUUUCAAACUAGAAACCUAGGCCUUAUGCCUUUGACUUUUCAAAAUCUUUUCAUUAAUACUCACUGUGAAUUAACAUUAAUUCAACUUUGACUUCUUUUUGUAAAUAAAUAUAACUUGUAAAUACA